ACCCUGUCUCGAAAAACCAAAAAAAAAAAAAAAAAAAAAAAAAAGUCCACAGCAGGUCCAGUCUCUCUCCCUUGCCUCUAACUUUCAGGUAACCUGUAAGUUCCCAGGUACUGCUCCAGUGCUGUGACAGCCUGCAUGCUGCCCCUGACCAUGAUGGCCAUGGACUAACCUUUGAAACGGUACGCAAGCCCCAUUAAAUGCUUUCUUUUAUAAGUUGCAUUGUCAUGAUGUCUCAUCCCAGCAACAGAAAAGUACUGAGUACAUAUCAUUUCAAUAUUCAUAAGACAAAAUAGAAAACACCCGUAGAGCACCAUGUUGACAAUGUUCUGAGGGAGGAGCAGCUAAGCCAACCAUUUGAGCAGUGAGCUGAGUCAGCCAUCUUUCUCAGACGUACUAUGUUUAUUUAAGUGAACCCUUGACCAACAACCAGUUAUUCAGACUUGAGGACAUUUUUCUUGAAAGUGAAUGAAGUAUGCACUGUCAGUAUCUGAGGCCAAUAGCAAAAUUCAAGACAAGUAAAAACAAGGCUUAAGACAACGUAUGUCUACCACACUGAGAGCACCCAGUACUUAACAGACACCUCAGAUGACAUCCGUGGAGGCACCAGGGAUGUGAAUGUGGUACCACAGCUUGAAAUGUGCCAACACUGGGGAGAUUCAUAACCCUCAGGAAAGCAGAAGUUUUCAGACAGCCCAUGCCGUGUAUUACAGUAUCGCAUGAGGGUGACUCCAGGCUUCUAAAGAAUGCAUUGAAAUGGCCUGAAUUCGCAGGCCAACUAACUAAGAAAUGAACUCUUGUUGGUUUUCCUUUUCAAAUACCUGUCUUCUAAAUUUUUAAUUAUGUGUAUGGUAUGUGUCUAUGGGCAGAGAGGUAUCUGGAAGUGAGUACAAGUGCUCAAAGAGGGCAGAUGAGAUCAUCAGAUCCCCUGGAGCCAUUUGUAGGGUGCUGGAAACCAAACCAGGGUGGGUCCCAUCUCCCAUCCUCAGAAACCAGAACUCAUGAAACCUUAGUGUAAUGUGAAGACUACCUACGAGCACCUGAAAACACUAUUAAAUCCUCUCUCUUUCCAGAUGAAUAUGAAUAACGAUGCAUAGUAUCUUUGUGAGGUCACUGCAAACUGAUUGUCUUGUCUGCAGAUGCAGUAAGAACCUCAUUCUCCUCAUUAAAAUAUUAAAGAGAUUUGCAAGCAUGAAAAACAAUGUUAUUAUCACCCUCAAUUUUUUUAUUUCCUAACUAUAUUUUUUCUCAAAAGGAGUCAAUGUACUACCAUAUCAUGGACUUCUGAUGGUGACUUCAAGGGAAUAAGCCAAUAUUUCAUUCUCAAUUUCAAUAUGUACCAUGCUAAGUAUGAGUACCUAUGGCCCACAGAAAGAUAAGUGUAGCAUAAUGUUUAUUUUUUAAGUAUAAAGUAGUUCUGUGUAGAAAAUAAAUUUGAGAAUCACUAAAUAUGGGAGAAAGAAGUUACUUCUUACUGUCUAUGAAUGUUACAAAUAGGAUUAACUAUAAAACACAAAUCCUUUUGAUGUUUUCCUGGGAGAAAGCAUCGCUCCCCAUCCCCCAACCCCUGCAUCCCAACUGUGCAGUAAGAAUGGAAGGCAGCUUCAAAGUAGCCAAGAGUCACCUUUCUUCCUGCACUCUGACUUCUUAGAGGCCAGAGCACCUAGGGUGAGUGUCCUCUGUGCCCUUCUCUACCUCAACAGGUAGCAUAAAAGCCUUCUACAAUAGGUGUUUUACUUCCCAGAACACAAUGGCCUUGGAAAAUGGCUAUUGAAAAAUAUCCCUGAGCAAUAAACACUUGCAUCCAGAGUUGUCUGCUGAUGAGACAAAAAAAAAAUUUUAAAUAGCCCGACAAAGUAAAGUGCUAGCUAAAUAUUAAAUUAUCUUGAAGACACCAAAAGUCAAGCAGUUUGAAUUUUAAAAUGCUUUUUAAAGAUCUAUUUCAUUUGUAUUUCUAGGGGUGAGGGCAUUGUGUGAGUUCCAGCAAAGGCCAGAAGAGGGCGUCUCAUCACCCUGAACUGGAAUUGCAGGGGCUUGAGAGCUGUGUGGCAACUGGGAACUAAAUCCAGGUCCUCCGGAAAAGCAGCAGGCACUCAACCAAUCAGCAUCUCUCCAAGCAGCGAUUUAAAAAUACUUAGCAUUCAGAUUUUUCUGUCUGCUCUUGAUGGUUCUAUGCACUCGUCUCUUGAUCAGUUUUUUGGCUUCUUCAUAAAAAUUGUUUUUAACUUACUGUUUUGUCUUUACAGGUGAGGGCUCAUAAAACCCCAAGGCAGCCUUGACCUCACUAUGUAGUCAAGGCCGGGCUUGGUUUCUUCUUGAUCCUCCUGCCUCAGCUUUCAACGUGCUGGGAUUACAGGGUGAACCAAGAUGCCUAAUUAGGUUUACUUACAGGGCAUAAGUGACGGCUAUCUCCAGGAGCAUGGACAACUUGCCAGUGGAUACACCACCAAAGAAAAUGUCUCCCUGCCUCCAAAAUCAUCUCCCACAGGUUCUCUGGGAAGAGUGAGGCUUUGUGAACCCUCCUCCCCAGCUAGUGUUAUUUAAGGGAGAUAAAAAUUAGAGUUUGAAUAAAGAAGUAUUAGGCUCA